GAAGUAGGGGCAGUGGACGGUGUGCGACAGCCGAGACUUGCCCUCGAGACGCUCCCUCUUGUUAAGCUUAGCUUGCAGUCGCUCCCACUCCUCGUCAUCGUCGUCGUCCAGCGAGGAGUUGUUCUUGCCCUUCUCCUCAUCCUCGCUGCCACUGCCGGCAGCCGAUUCCACAUCGCUGCCAUCCGCAUUUCCAGCCUCCGAUUCGGCAUCGGAGUUACCCGCCGCCGCUUGAUCCUCGGAUGCCGUGAUCGUAGCUGUUGUCGCAGCCUUGGCCGGCACCUUCUUCUGGUUCUUUUGGUUCUGGGCUGGUUUCUUACCACCCUUUCCCUUGCCACCCUUACGUGGCUUGGCCCAGGCAGAAGCCUUCUUGACCGGCGCAGCGGCAGCAGCCUCAUCCUCAUCACCGGCAGCCUCCUCAUUGGUCUCAUCCUUGAUGCCCUGCUUCUCAGGCGCCUUUGUGUCACCGAAUAGCGUCUUCAUGUCCUUGCGCUCCAGCGUAACCGUGACCGUAACUAUGGCCCCGGCGGUCACCACAUUGGUGUUCUCAUCGUCGAUAACCUCGCAGCGAAUGGAGAAGUCAAUCAGCGGCAUCUUGCCCAGCACUUUCAUCGUGUUCUCGUACUCAAAGUCAGAUAGGUUCUUCAGAAGCUGACGGCUCUCCUCCGGCUUGAGCUGGGCGAAUUGCUGCAGGUUCUUGACGUGCCUCUUCUUGUUCAUAAAGUACAGAUGGUCCUCGGUGAGAUGGGGCAGCUGCAGCAGUGGCGAUUUGAACUCCCACAGGCCUUGGAUAAUCAUCGGCGACAUUUUCAUGCAGUUCUCAAUCGUUUCGAUGCUGGGCAGGCGGGGCACACGUCGGGCAUAGGCCAUCAUGACCAGCUGGUGAACGCAGGAGACCAUUUCUUGCACCAAAUACGGGCACUUCUUCACCACAAACUGGCGAUCGCGCUCCAGAGUUUCCGGAUUGAGGGGCAUGCGACUGAGAUGGGCAUGCAGGAUGGCGCGAGCCUUGAUGGAGUACAUGCGGCACAGCGGAUGCUCCUUGCACUUCUCAUUCAGAUUGGGCAGCUGUCUAAUCAGCUGUAUUCGAAAAGGAAGUGUUAUUAGUGAGCGAACAACGAAUGGAAAUUCCAAUAAAAUGCACUCACCGCCGGCACCUCGUCAUUGUCCGACUGCCGCUCCUGGACCUGCGAGUUGUGUCGCUUGUCAAACUCCAAACUGGCUGCCAGAACCAUAAGUGCCCGCUUGAGCAGCAUGUGCGGUGUCUUGUGGAUGAAGUAAAAGUACAUCUGAGUGGUAUCGAGCAGCACUUUGUCGCCACUGAAGCGGAUGGAGCGGUACCACCAAACACCCACUGCCGAGGGCAUGGCCACCAUGAAGACCAGGCCGUACAGACCCAAAACCCAAACGCUAUUCUCCUUCUCCACAAUCCACGAGGGCAGGGCGAUGCCAAAGGACAUGGCACCCGGUCCAUCCGGAUUACCAUACUUCUCGUAGUUCUCCUUUGCCACAUCGUCGGUCAGCGCCUGGUACGCUUUGCUCAGCAUCAUGAAGGACUUCUCGUCACCCGUCUCCUUGUCGGGAUGGAGCACCUUGGACAGCCGGUAGUAGGCCUUCUUGAUCUCGGCCUGCGACGACGUCGGCGGCACAUUCAGGAUCUCGAAGGGAUCGAAGCUGGCCAUCUCGUAGUCGAACUGCGAGACGCGGUACGUGAGGAAGAGCAGUAGGGCCCACCCCAGCACUAUGGUCAGCUUGAUGGUCCAUGACGUGAGAGCUCUGUACGGCUCGGCAUUGGCCAAGAUGGUCUUCUUUUUCUGGCAGUCGGCGCACUGACAUUCCUCUUUAAGUUUGCUGUUAUCUGCAAGUAUGUGUACGAAAAUUGGGUCAGUACGGGGAUUAUAUAGGCUAUUUUAAAAUAUUUGAAAUUUAUCAUUUUCACUUAAGAUGGCUAAUAAAAUGAUUU
ensembl:ncRNA asRNA:CR45835 antisense RNA:CR45835